AAAAAGCUAACUGAAAGUAUUGAGAGAUCAAGAGUGGAGAAUAUAUGAAGAAACACAAAUUAUUUGCUCUACCAUUUUGCAAAUUGUCUAACCCUGUACUUAAGGGAGAGAAGGCAAAGAGGGUCUGACAUCAUUUUUUUUCCAUUAAGCAGGUGCAAAUCUCUCUGGUCACAUAUUAUUUACUUAAGACACGUAUAUCUGAUGAACCUGCUAACAUCCAGAUUAUAGUUUUCAGAGACAAAUAUUAAACGGAUGGAUUUGAAGAAAUUCAGAAAUUAAGAAAAGCUUGGAGCUUCUAGUCUACC
rnacentral:lncRNA from 1 species